UUGCCGACAAUUGGAACAAGAGCCUGAGU
rnacentral:piRNA from 1 species